rnacentral:tRNA from 1 species
CAGUAAAUAUUUUAAUAAAAAUAUUAGUUUUGGAGACUAGAGAUUUAGAAAUAUCUUUUUUACUGA